rnacentral:sRNA from 1 species
AGGAACCAGCCCCUCUGCUUAUCCACAGGCUGAACACAGCUCAGACACGCGGUGCCUGAGCUCCCUGCACCGCUGCGGCACUGAACUUAGGCUUGAACGGGAGGAACUGCCUCUCUGCAAGAUGAGAGGGGAUUCAUUUUCCAUGCUAGCUCUUUC